rnacentral:rRNA from 1 species
GACGAACGCUGGCGGCGUGCUUAACACAUGCAAGUCGAACGGAGUAGCGAACGGGUGAGUAACACGUGGGUGACCUGCCCUGCACUUCGAGCUAAGCCUGGGAAACUGGGUCUAAUACCGGAUAGUGUGGGAUGGGCCCGCUGCCUAUCAGCUUGUUGGUGGGGUAAUGGCAUACCAAGGCGGCGACGGGUAGCCGGCCUGAGAGGGUGGACAGCCACAUGGGGACGGAGGCACGGCGCAGAGGCAUACGGGAGGCAGGAGUGGGGAAGAUUGCGCAGUGGGCGGAAGCCUGAUGGAGAGACGUCGGGUGGGUAAUGACGGCUUGCGGGUUGUAAAGUCCUUUCAGCAACGACGCGGUAGAUGGAGAAGAAGCACCGGCUAACUACGUGCCAGCAGCCGCGGUAAUAC